GACAGAGGUGCCGAGCGUUAGGCGGAAUCACUGGGCUUAAAGCGUGUGUAGGCGGGCGGGCAAGUACCUUGUGAAAUCCCACGGCUCAACCGUGGAACGGCUGGGCAUACUGGGCGUCUUGGGCCAACUAGGGGCAGCCGGAACAAGCGGUGGAGCGGUGAAAUGCGUAGAUAUCGCUUGGAACGCCGAAGGUGAAAACAGGCUGCUGGGGUUGCGCCGACGCUGAGACACGAAAGCCAGGGGAGCAAACGGG
rnacentral:rRNA from 1 species